CAGCCGCCGCGGGAAUACGUAGGGUGCAAGCGUUAAUCGGAAUUACUGGGCGUAAAGCGUGCGCAGGCGGUUUCGUAAGACAGAUGUGAAAUCCCCGGGCUUAACCUGGGAACUGCAUUUGUGACUGCGAGGCUAGAGUGUGUCAGAGGGGGGUGGAAUUCCACGUGUAGCAGUGAAAUGCGUAGAUAUGUGGAGGAACACCGAUGGCGAAGGCAGCCCCCUGGGAUAACACUGACGCUCAUGCACGAAAGCGUGGGGAGCAAACAGGAUUAGAUACCCCAGUAGUCCCUGUCUCUUAUAA
rnacentral:rRNA from 1 species